UGGGGAAUUUUGGACAAUGGGCGAAAGCCUGAUCCAGCAAUGCCGCGUGUGUGAAGAGGGCCUUCGGGUUGUAAAGCACUUUUGUCCGGAAAGAAAUCCUCUGGGUUAAUACCUCGGGGGGAUGACGGUACCGGAAGAAUAAGCACCGGCUAACUACGUGCCAGCAGCCGCGGUAAUACGUAGGGUGCAAGCGUUAAUCGGAAUUACUGGGCGUAAAGCGUGCGCAGGCGGUUUUGUAAGACGGAUGUGAAAUCCCCGGGCUUAACCUGGGAACUGCAUUCGUGACUGCAAGGCUAGAGUAUGGCAGAGGGGGGUUAGAAUUCCACGUGUAGCAGUGAAAUGCGUAGAGAUGUGGAGGAAUACCGAUGGCGAAGGCAGCCCCCUGGGCCAAUACUGACGCUCAUGCACGAAAGCGUGGGGAGCAAACAGGAUUAGAUACCCUGGUAGUCCACGCCCUAAACGAUGUCAACUAGUUGUUGGGGAUUCAUUUCCUUAGUAACGUAGCUAACGCGUGAAGUUGACCGCCUGGGGAGUACGGUCG
rnacentral:rRNA from 1 species